UCCAGACUCCUACGGGAGGCAGCAGUAGGGAAUCUUCGGCAAUGGACGAAAGUCUGACCGAGCAACGCCGCGUGAGUGAAGAAGUAUUUCGGUAUGUAAAGCUCUAUCAGCAGGGAAGAAGAUGACGGUACCUGAUUAAGAAGCCCCGGCUAACUACGUGCCAGCAGCCGCGGUAAUACGUAGGGGGCAAGCGUUGUCCGGAUUUACUGGGUGUAAAGGGAGCGCAGACGGCAGUGCAAGUCUGGAGUGAAAGCCCGGGGCCCAACCCCGGAACUGCUCUGGAAACUGUGCGGCUAGAGUACUGGAGGGGCAGGCGGAAUUCCUAGUGUAGCGGUGAAAUGCGUAGAUAUUAGGAGGAACACCAGUGGCGAAGGCGGCCUGCUGGACAGUAACUGACGUUGAGGCUCGAAAGCGUGGGGAGCAAACAGGAUUAGAUACCCCAGUA
rnacentral:rRNA from 1 species